rnacentral:sRNA from 1 species
UGCUUGCUCCCUGGUGGCUCUGGACUCUGGGAGGAAGUGAAGGAUGUAGGGAUUGUAGUCACAGGUUCAGAGGGGGGCAGUCUCGGGGCGUUCUCACCACUUAUCUCUUCUACAGCUGAUGCUGAGCCCCAAGACCUUGAGAGUACGAACCUCUUGGAGAGUGAAGCUCCCAGGGACUAUUUCCUCAAGUUUGCCUAUAUUGUGGAUUUGGACAGCGACACGGCAGACAAGUUCCUGCAGCUGUUUGGAACCAAAGGUGUCAAGAGGGUGCUGUGUCCUAUCAACUACCCCUUGUCGCCCACCCGCUUCACCCAUUGUGAGCAGGUGCUGGGCGAGGGUGCCCUGGACCGAGGCACCUACUACUGGGAGGUGGAGAUUAUCGAGGGCUGGGUCAGCGUGGGGGUCAUGGCCGAAGACUUCUCCCCACAAGAGCCCUAUGACCGCGGCCGGCUGGGCCGCAACGCCCACUCCUGCUGCCUGCAGUGGAAUGGACGCAGCUUCUCCGUCUGGUUUCAUGGGCUGGAGGCUCCCCUGCCCCACCCCUUCUCGCCCACGGUUGGGGUCUGCCUGGAAUACGCCGACCGUGCUUUGGCCUUCUAUGCUGUACGGGACGGCAAGAUGAGCCUCCUGCGGAGGCUGAAGGCCUCCCGGCCCCGCCGGGGUGGCAUCCCGGCCUCCCCCAUUGACCCCUUCCAGAGCCGCCUGGACAGUCACUUUGCGGGGCUCUUCACCCACAGACUCAAGCCUGCCUUCUUCCUGGAGAGUGUGGACGCCCACUUGCAGAUCGGGCC